rnacentral:tRNA from 1 species
AGCACCCAAAGCUGAAAUUCUAAUUAAACUACUCCUUGA